UACGUAGGUGACCAGCGUUGUCCGGAUUUACUGGGCGUAAAGGGCUCGUAGGCGGCCAACUAAGUCGGACGUGAAAUCCCUCGGCUUAACCGGGGAACUGCGUCUGAUACUGGAUGGCUUGAGAUUGGGAGAGGGAUGCGGAAUUCCAGGUGUAGCGGUGAAAUGCGUAGAUAUCUGGAGGAACACCGGUGGCGAAGGCGGCAUCCUGGACCAACACUGACGCUGAGGAGCGAAAGCCAGGGGAGCAAACGGG
rnacentral:rRNA from 1 species